rnacentral:rRNA from 1 species
UGCGAAUGGCUCAUUAUAUAAGUUAUCGUUCAUUUGAUAGCACCUUACUACUUGGAUAACCGUGGUAAUUCUAGAGCUAAUACAUGCUAAAAACCCCGACGUGAGGAGGGGUGUAUUUAUUAGAUUAAAAGCCAAUGCCCUACGGGCUCUCUGGUGAUUCAUGAUAACUUCGCGGAUCGCACGGCCUUGCGCCGGCGAUGGUUCAUACAAAUUUCUUCCCUAUCAACUUUCGAUGUUUGGGUCGUGGCCAAACAUGGUUGCAACGGGUAACGGAGGGUUAGGGCUCGACCCCGGAGAAGGAGCCUGAGAGACGGCUACUACAUCCAAGGAAGGCAGCAGGCGCGCAAAUUACCCAAUCCCGACACGGGGAGGUAGUGACAAUAAAUACUGAUACAGGGCUCUUUUGGGUCUUGUAAUUGGAAUGAGUACAUCCUAAAUCCCUUAACGAGGAACAAUUGGAGGGCAAGUCUGGUGCCAGCAGCCGCGGUAAUUCCAGCUCCAAUAGCGUAUAUUAAAGUUGUUGUGGUUAAAAAGCUCGUAGUUGAACCUUGGGCCUGGCUGGCCGGUCCGCCUCACCGCGUGCACUGGUCCGGCCGGGUCUUUCCCUCUGCGGAACCCCAUGCCCUUCGCUGG